AGAGUUUGAUCCUGGCUCAGAACGAACGCUGGCGGCAUGCUUAACACWSMAAGUCGAACGAGAUCUUCGGAUCUAGUGGCGCACGGGUSAGUAACGCGUGGGAACCUACCAUUCUGUACGGAAUAACGCUUGGAAACGAGCGCUAAUACCGUAUACGCCCUGUGGGGGAAAGGUCCGCCGCAGAAUGAGGGGCCCGCGUCCGAUUAGUUUGUUGGUAAGGUAAAGGCUUACCAAGGCUACGAUCGGUAGCUGGUCUGAGAGGAUGAUCAGCCACACUGGGACUGAGACACGGCCCAGACUCCUACGGGAGGCAGCAGUGGGGAAUAUUGGACAAUGGGGGCAACCCUGAUCCAGCAAUGCCGCGUGUGUGAUGAAGGCCCUAGGGUUGUAAAGCACUUUCAAUGGUGAAGAUGAUGACGGUAGCCAUACAAGAAGCCCCGGCUAACUUCGUGCCAGCAGCCGCGGUAAUACGAAGGGGGCGAGCGUUGUUCGGAAUUACUGGGCGUAAAGGGCGCGCAGGCGGUCAAUUUAGUUAGGUGUGAAAGCCCCGGGCUCAACCUGGGAACUGCACUUGAUACUGGUUGACUAGAAAACGGAAGAGGGCAGUGGAAUUCCCAGUGUAGAGGUGAAAUUCGUAGAUAUUGGGAAGAACACCAGUGGCGAAAGCGGCUGCCUGGUCCGAUUUUGACGCUGAGGCGCGAAAGCGUGGGAGCAAACAGGAUUAGAUACCUGUAGUCACGCGUAACGAUGAUGCUAGUGUCGGUGCUCAGCACUCGUGACGCGCUACGCAUAGCAUCGCUGG
rnacentral:rRNA from 1 species